CAUGCCGCACAGCACGUGGGAACUUAGUUCCCCGACCAGGGAUCGAACCCAUGCACCCUGCAGUGGAAGCAUGGAGUCUUAACCACUGGACCUCCAGGGAAGUCCCUGUUUAUCUAUUUUAUAUUUGGUAAAAAAAAACAGUUCUUUUUCAUUAUGUAUGCAUGAGUGUUUAUCAAAUAUUGCUGUUACACUUUGCUUCAGUUUCCAGCACUUACCAUCACUGAGUAAAAUGCAUUUGAUUGGCUUGUGUGUGUUCAUUUCCCACAAGAGUGUAAGCUCAGGAGUCCUAGGAAUUGAGUCUGGUUCCCGACUGUCGGCCUCCCCAUCCUCCCACACACGGGGGUGAAGAGGGAGCCUUGCUGACAUGGAACCUGUGGCUGUUUCAGGACUCGGUGGGCUCUGAGGACGUGGCUGUGAACUUCACUGUGGAGGAGUGGGCUUUGCUGGGCCCGGCUCAGAGGAAGCUCUACAGAGACGUGAUGCUGGAGACCUUCAGGAACCUGGCCUCUGUGGGAUUUAGUUAUGCUACCAAUUGUUGCAGGUUCUUGCCCUCAAGUUAAAACCAGUGGAUCAAGUCCUCAGUGGGAUAUUUUGGAGAAUGAAGUAUGCAGUGAAGAGAAAAUAGUAAGAUUCAGAAGAAAUGAUUCCUAGUCUGUUUUUGGAGAAAACUGGGCAUUUCAUAACAUGCGUGAUCAGCAUGUAACCCAGGAGAGGCGUUUGAGAAAUCAUUUGGUGGAGAGUCUCUGUGAAGGUAAAGAAGAUCAUCAAUAUGGAGAAACCCUGAACCAGAUUACAAAUCUUACUGUGCAUAAGGGUUAUCCCACUGCAGUUCAGCCCUAUAAAUGCACUAAGUGUGGAAAAACCUUCAGGGAUCGUUCUUUCCAGAGGAAUCAGCAAAGGUAUCACCCUGGACACAAACCUUAUCCAUGUGAAGGAUGUGGGCAAGCCUGCAGCUCUGUCUCGUGCCUAAAUCCUCCUGGGCAAACAGACAUUGUAGAGAAACAUGAUAAACAUCAGGAUGCUGGGAGAACAUCUAAGAGGUACAUGAAGAGUGACAGUAGUAAACAGUCUUUAGAGCGUAAGAAAUCUGGAAAAGCUCUCGCUUGCCAUCUGUUCAGCGACAUAAGAGAGGUCAUUAUGGACGGAAAUCCACAUGUGUGAAGUAUGUGAGAAAUCCUUCAGUUAUUAUUCCCAGAUUGCACGGCAUGUGAGAACUCAAACUGGAGAGAAACCCUAUGAAUGUAAAGAAUGUGGGAAAGCUUUCACUCGCAGCACACAGUUUCGAGAACAUGUGAGAAUGCACACUGGAGAGAAACCCUAUGAAUGUAGGCAGUGUGGGAAAGCCUUCCCAUAUUGCAAAUCCCUGCAAGGACACAUGGGAACGCACACUAGAGAGAAGCCUUCUCGUGUGUGUAAUGAAUGUGGAAAAGCCUUCCAUUGUCCCAGGUACAUUAGAAGGCACAUAAAAAGACACAGUGGAAUAAAACCCUAUGAAUGUACAGAAUGUGGGAAAGUGUUCAUUACUCCCUCAUCCCUUCGAGAACAUAUGAGAACACACAGUGAAGAGAAGCCCUAUCAGUGUCAGCAUUGUGGAAAAGUCUUCAGGCUUCAGAGAUCUCUGCAAGGACACAUGAUUACCCACAGUGAUGAGAAACCCCGUCAGUGUCAGUAGUGUGGGAAAGCCUUCAAAUAUCCCAUAUAUCUGAAAGGACACAUGAAAACACACAGUAAAAAGAAACCGUGUGAAUGUCAGCAGUGUGAAAAAGCCUACUGUUAUCUCAUAUCCCUGCAAAGACAUAUGAAGACACACACUGUGGGAAAACUUGAAUCCAAGAAUAGUGGGAAAGCCUUUCUUAAAACUUAGAAGUGGGAGCAAAACAGUGUCAAGAAAUUUUUUUUUUAUACCACAUGGCUUGUGGGAUCUUAGUUCCUCAACCAGGGAUCGAACCCAGGCCCCCUGCAGUGGAAGCACGGAGUUGUAAGCACUGGACCACCAGGGAAUUGCUGAGCAAUCUUAUGAAUGGAAAAAAUUUUUUUCCUUUGUAAGUGUCUUAUCCUCAAUACUGAUCUCAGGAUAUUAAUUUGUACUUCAUGUUGCUGAUCUGAACACAUAAUAAUUAUCCUCCAUGUUCAUCUUUACCACUUACAUUUUGUUAUCUCUGAGUUUAUAUCAUUGUACAAUCAUAUAAAACUUGUCUUAUUUCCAUUAGAAUGAUACCAGGGGUGCUAAGUGGCUUUUGGUUUGUGGUUUUUUUCAUGUGCAACUUGUGAUUUCUUUCAUUUUUGUUGAACAGAUUUUUGAUUCUUCCUUUCCAUUAUGUUCCUAAUACGUGAUCAUGAUAUGAGGCUGGCAUUAAUUAAAUAUCUUUCCUUGUCCACUGUUAAGAGAUACUGGAAUCUCCUGAAUCAAUAUUUACCCUCUCCUUGAGUUUUCAUUACUGAAAGGUGUGUCUUCCAAGUUGUUUGUUGCUAGCAGAUACCGUAUAUGUGUUCCUCCCAGAAAUUAGUAAUUGUGGAAGGUCAUGGAAGAUGACAGGCUUACCUGAUUAUGUUCAUAAUCUGACCUCUGUUCAUGUCCAUGAUCUUGGUUGCAAAUCGAACACAAUACAUUGAGUUAAGAAGAGCGACCUGGACUUCCCUGGCGGUCCAGUGGUUAAGACUCCGAGCUUCCAAUGCAGGGGGUGCAGGUUUGGUCCGUGGUCGGGGAACUAGGAUACCACAUGCUGUGUGGCCAACCCCCCCCACCAAAAAAAAGUUAAAAAAAAAAAAAAAAGAGCGACCUGGUGGGUGAUGAUGAAAGCUCCUGUCCAGAUUGUUCUACUGAACUGUGUUGUCAUCUUCGGUAAGGUAGGAAACUAUAUCCAGAGUCCUUCUGUUAGUGGUUCUGAGUUAAAGUUCUUGAGAAGAGGAAGAUGCAUGAGGUCUGGAAAGCAGAAGUGAGGAAGCCAUGAUUCCUUUUUUAAAUUUUAUUAUUGUGUUGGCCAAAAAGUUCAUUCAGUUUUAAGUAAAAAUAGAAAGUAUCACAUUUUUCAUUUUCACCAAGAAUUUUAUUGAACAAUGUAUUCACUAACUGAAUGAACUUUUUGGCCAAACCAAUAUCAUUAUUUUUUUGGCUGCAACACUUGGCAUGCAGGAUCUUAGUUCCCUGACCAGGGAUUGAACCCUUGUCCCCUUCAGUGGAAACAUGGAAUCUUAACCACUGGACCGCCAGGGAAGUCCUCAAGGAAACCAUGAUCCUCGGGUCUUCUGUACCAUCAGGAGACAGAGAUGCAUGGCAGCCUACUGGCCCUGAGUUCUAGCACAGUUUUCUGACUUCUGGCUCUGCCCAUACGGAAGAGCUCCAACUACACAUAUAUUUGAUGAGCAGUGUGAGUCCCCAUAAAGCCUUGCCUGAAUUUCUCGUCUGGCCUCGUUUCAAUUUCUAUUGAUUAGAGAGUCCAAGGACCCAGGUCAACCAUACUGGCAGAAAAACAGACACAUACAUAAAUGGAACAGAAUAGAGAGCUCAGAAAUAAAUACAAUGUAAGGUCAAUUAAUGUAGGAAAAAAGACGCAAGAAUAUACAAUGGGGAAAAGACAGCCUCUUCAAUAAAUAGUGUUGGGAAAACUGGCACCUACAUGUGAGAGAAUCAAACUGGACUUUUUUCUCACGCCAUAUAUAUAUGUGUAUAUAUAUACACACACACAUAUACAUACAUACAUACACACACACAUAUAUAUGUAAAGACUUUGUACAACUAAAUAUGAACAAAAAAACCACUUAAAAAAUGUGCACAAGACCUAAAUAGACAUUUUUCCAAAGAAGAUGUACAGAUGGCCAACAGACACAUGAAAAGCUGCUCAACAUCACUAAUCAGGGAGAUGCACAUCAUAACCACAGUGAGAUAACACCUGUCAAUGACACCUGUCAGAAUGGCUAUUAUUAAAAAGACCACCAAUAACAAGUGUUGUGAAGCAUUUGCAGAAAAGUGUAACCUAGUGCACUGUUGCUGGGAAUAUCAAUUGCUGCAGCCAUUAUGGAAAACAACAUGGAGUUUCUUAAAAUAAAAAUAGAACUACUGUACGAUCCAGCAAUCCCGCUUCUGGGUAUUUUUUGAAGAAAACAAAAACAGUAAUUCAAAAAUACUGGGCUUCCCUGGUGGUGCAGUGGUUGAGAAUCUGCCUGCCAAUGCAGGGGACACAGGUUCGAGCCCUGGUCUGGGAAGAUCCCAUAUGCUGCAGAGCAACUGGGCCCGUGAGCCACAAUUACUGAGCCUGCGCAUCUGGAGCCUGUGCUCCGCAACAAGAGAGGCCACGAUAGUGAGAGGCCCGCAUACCGCGAUGAAGAGUGGCCCCCGCUUGCCACAACUAGAGAAAGCCCUCGCACAGAAACGAAGACCCAGCACAGCCAUAAAAAACAAAACAAAACAAAACAUAUGCACCCCUAUGUUCAUUGCAGCAUUAUUUACAAUGGCCAAGGUACAGAGGCAACCUCAAUGUCUCUCAACAGAAGCGUGGAUAAAGAAGACGGUGCAUGUAUGUACAAUGGAAUAGUACUCAGCCAUAGAAAAGAAUGAAAUUUUAGCAUUUGGGACAACAUAUAUGGCACUAGAGGGUAUUCUAAGUGAAAUAGGCAGAGAAAGGCAAAUGCUGUGUGGUUUCACUCAUGUGGAAUGAAGAAAACAAAAAUGGAGAGUCAUAACAAAACAGAAAUAGACUCACAGAUACAGAGAAACAAGUGGUCAUCAGAAUGGAGGGUAGUAAGGAAAAUGAGUGAAAUAGGUGAGGGAGAUGGAACAAACUUCCAGUCCUUUUAAAGUCAGUCAGUCACAGGGAUGUAAUAUACAGCAUUUAUAGAGUCAGUCAUAUUGUAUGGUGGGAAUUCCCUGGCAGUCCAGUGGUCAGGACUCCGCACUUUCACUGCUGAGGGCCUGGGUUCUACCUCUAGUUGGGGAACUAAGAUCCUGCAAGCUAUGUGGUGUGGGUCACGGAAAAAAAAAAAAAGUGAAGAUUUCUUCCCUGAACUAAUUAAUGCAAUUUUUAAAAAAAGUGUGAUAUUGGUGGCUGUGAGCAGGGUGGGGCUUCUGACAGGGCACCAACCCAAGUGGGAUGUCACAUGUACAUUGUCUGGUUUGUGAUGUCAUGGAUGCUUAUAUCAUAAUAUUUCUGUCAAAUGUAUACUUUUUGCAUUUUUCUUCAUGUGUGUUUUAGUAAAAUACUAUGAUGUCAAUUAAUAUAACUCACCACAGUAGCACCAUAACCCAUAUAAAAAAAACACUAUCUCAAGUUUUCUCAAUAGAUGUGGAAAAACAUUUUAUACUAGUCAGCAUUUAUGAAUGACUAAUUUCUUAAUAAUUUAUGAUGAAGGCAAGUUGUAAUUACAAGGGAAUAGUCUUAGUUCAGGCAUACAAAAAUGGGGUCAGGCAGCCAUCGAGGAUCUGGUCUUGGACAGGUCCCUCCUCCACUGUUAACUUGAACUUUCUUUGAACAUGACGAGACCCAAGAACACGACCAGUUUUAUUCAGAACACAAUCCACCAAUGUGAGACCUUAUGUUCUCAAGGUCCCCCUUUGGAACUAUGUAACAAUUUCAGACCCCAACACAUCCUUGCUUAACAAGCACCCUUCUUGCCGGAUCUAAUUAUAAUUUUUGACAACUAAGUGUGGCCUUGCAGUUUUGCCUUUAUAAGCUUCCUCCAUUUUGUAGUCAGGCAAAAUCCAAUUAAAGUACUUCUUUUUUUAAAAAAUAUUUAUUUAUUUAUUUGGGUGUGCUGGGUCUUAGUUGCGGCUAACUGGGUCCUUAGUUGUGGCAUGCAUGUGGCAUCUAGUUCCCUGACCAGGGAUCAAAUCCAAGCCCCCAUCAUUGGGAGU